AGAGCCCUCCCCGCAGCCUCGUUCCGGCUCAGCAGCCGUUAAGCCCGCGGGCCGCCGGGUGUGCGUCAGCCGCGCCGCGCCGUCAGGGGCCGGGGCCGACCCUCCCCUCAUGGACCGGGCUCCCUCGUCACUGGCCGGCGGGAGCUGCAUGUCCCUUCUCCCCCCCGCCUCUGCAUUGUCAGCCUUCUUGUGCAUUCCCCAUGCUGCCUGGGUGCCACCUAGGAAGCUACUGAGAGACAGAUUCUAAACAAGCCUCUCCUACCAGCCCUCUCUGCAUGUCCAUGUCUGACUACUGCAAACUCUAGCUAAUGGGGAGGCAGGACCAAAUACAUCACUUGGUUCUGUAGACAUAGAGGUCACACAGAAGCACCAUAAGCAGAGACUCUUCUUCAUCCAAGCUGUGCAGAAGACAAGCAUCAGGGCUUCCCCAUCAGCUCACAAACCACAUGCCACAACGGUUCACCAGGACACAAACAGGGCAUGCUAAUGGAAUCCUUUCUUCCAAGCUCAUGUACACAUGCUAUUCCCAGCUGCAGGGAAGUGAAAUGGAACCACAACAGUCAAAGCUAAACAUGGGAUUUCAAUACGGUCACAGUGCAAUGACCUGGGACAGAGCUUCUAGCUUAUUUAAUGUUGAAAUGCAGGAGGGGGAAGGUAAUA